rnacentral:rRNA from 1 species
CCUACGGGAGGCAGCAGUGAGGAAUAUUGGUCAAUGGACGAGAGUCUGAACCAGCCAAGUAGCGUGAAGGAUGACUGCCCUAUGGGUUGUAAACUUCUUUUAUAUGGGAAUAAAAUGUUCCACGUGUGGGAUUUUGUAUGUACCAUAUGAAUAAGGAUCGGCUAACUCCGUGCCAGCAGCCGCGGUAAUACGGAGGAUCCAAGCGUUAUCCGGAUUUAUUGGGUUUAAAGGGAGCGUAGGUGGAGUGUUAAGUCAGUUGUGAAAGUUUGCGGCUCAACCGUAAAAUUGCAGUUGAAACUGGCAGUCUUGAGUACAGUAGAGGUGAGCGGAAUUCGUGGUGUAGCGGUGAAAUGCUUAGAUAUCGCGAAGAACUCCGAUUGCGAAGGCAGUUCACUGGACUGCAACUGACACUGAGGCACGAAAGUGUGGGUAUCAAACAGGAUUAGAUAACCUGGUAGUC